UACGAAGGGUGCAAGCGUUACUCGGAAUCACUGGGCGUAAAGCGUGCGUAGGCGGUUUCUUAAGUCUGUCGUGAAAGCCCUGGGCUCAACCUGGGAAUGGCGAUGGAUACUGGGAGGCUAGAGUGUGAUAGAGGAUGGUGGAAUUCCCGGUGUAGCGGUGAAAUGCGUAGAGAUCGGGAGGAACACCAGUGGCGAAGGCGGCCAUCUGGAUCAACACUGACGCUGAGGCACGAAAGCGUGGGGAGCAAACAGG
rnacentral:rRNA from 1 species